rnacentral:rRNA from 1 species
UACGAGGGGGGCGAGCGUUGUUCGGAAUUAUUGGGCGUAAAGGGUGCGCAGGCGGUUUUGUAAGUCUGUCGUGAAAUCCCCGGGCUCAACCUGGGAAUUGCGAUGGAGACUGCAAGGCUAGAAUCUGGCAGAGGGGGGUAGAAUUCCACGUGUAGCAGUGAAAUGCGUAGAGAUGUGGAGGAACACCGAUGGCGAAGGCAGCCCCCUGGGUCAAGAUUGACGCUCAUGCACGAAAGCGUGGGGAGCAAACAGGAUUAGAA